CGAAGGGGGCUAGCGUUGUUCGGAAUUACUGGGCGUAAAGCGCGCGCAGGCGGUUCGAUAAGUUGGGGGUGAAAUCCCCGGGCUCAACCCGGGAAUGGCCUUCAAGACUGUCGAGCUAGAGGACGAGAGAGGUGAGUGGAAUUCCCAGUGUAGAGGUGAAAUUCGUAGAUAUUGGGAAGAACACCGGUGGCGAAGGCGGCUCACUGGCUCGUUUCUGACGCUGAGGCGCGAAAGCGUGGGGAGCAAACAGGAUUAGAUACCCUGGUAGUCCACGCCGUAAACGAUGAGUGCCAGGUGUCGGGGGACUUAGUCCUUCGGCGCCGCAGCUAACGCCUUAAGCACUCCGCCUGGGGAGUACGGCCGCAAGGUUA
rnacentral:rRNA from 1 species